GUGUCCAUUGGGACCGCUGACCGACACGCACGAGGCCUAUCAGCGACGGGACGAGGUCAAGGGUUAACGAGGCCCGCUGAGGAGGAUGCCAUACAUUGGCCACGCAGUCAGUGGGGGUUUCUGGGUAAUAAGUUGGCGAAGAAACCACCAGCGUAGUGCAGAGUGCAAGUCGAGCGAUCCAGCGCCACGGGCGUGAUAACGGGCUGCAGGUCAAGGUUCAUCGCGUCGACAGAAAAGGCUGCUGGUGGCAGACGUCCCACACAGAGAAGAGCAAGCGACCCGGUUACAGCCGUGUGACCCCUGCGGGUGGGAUUCAAUCAUCUGCAAAGUACAAAUUGAACUGGAUUGAAUGUUUAUAGUGCGCGUGUGUCUGAGAAGGUGUCUGUCGGUCGUCGUCCGACCAAUAAAACGUUCUGUUUCCUUCAUUCACGCCUUUUGUCUCUGAUCUGAACGGUGUCCCCUCGGCUCCUGUGAGGUUCCUCCUCGGGUCGAACGUCCUACCGACCUCGGGGAGUCGGAUCCGAAGCUGAAGCUUCUCCUCCCUCCAUCUCUCACGUCCCUGCUUCGUUUGUCACCUGCAGUAACACUCGCUGUGGGUUUGAGAGCCCUAGGUCAUGUCUCCCUAUUCGACGUCUAGUUCCUCCCAAUUAGCAGGGAGCCUUUGAUGAGUUGGUGACGGAUCAUCUCGGGGGAACCGGAGUGAACACGUUGGAGAUGAAUCAAAUAAAACCAAAUGAGGUGAUGAACAUACGCGGCUCUGACAUGGCGCUUGCUGUAGAAUCGGAUGUGUGUGGAAAUGUUUCAAAGGCUUUUCAAAGGACGAGGAAUCCAACAGGACGUCGUCGCUCAUCUGCUACACGGAGUUAUCCUCGAUGAUGGAAGUUAGAUUUGAUUUAAUGAAACGCGCUGGAUCUCUUUAUUCAAAUUGAGGAUUAGGUUGUUGAAGGAUUUAUGCGAUGGAAUUGUUUUUCUGGGGGGGGAGGAUUCAGCCUGACAACCACCAGCUGAGACACACAUUUCUCUCGUGUGGACAUGUUGCAUUCUUUGUCUCCAUUCAUCACACAGAGGAGAUGAAGAUACUUCGGCGGAAAGCUUCCCAUUGGCUCCUCGUGUUCCAUUCCUCCACGCGACCUUCACGUGUCCUCAUUCCUCAGUGCCGGGGUGGAUCCAACACCUCCCCCAGCAUCACCUGGAUGGGAGCAGAGACGGCCUGUGAGGACCGUUUGUCACGGAGGACACGCGAGAACAUUCCAUAGAACUAAUGCAGACUUCUGUGAAGCCUCCAGACAUUCCCACGUCAUUUCAUUAGUUUCCCUCCUUAUUGGGAGCCCGACCAUCAGGUUUCUCCUAAACUCAACAUUAGAUGGUUCAUUGUACGUAAUGAACGCAUGAAUAUGACCAGAUAAUCACAAUCAGCUUCAUUGAGGUUGAUUCUCGUGUUUCUGUGACAUCAGAGGAAGCGUAAAGAAGCUUGAAUAAAAGGUGAAGCUGAUCAUGAACG
ensembl:lncRNA